CUUCCCCGGAGUGACCCAUUUGGGCUUGACAGGCGGAUAUGAGCAGCGAAAGAGUGAUCCGUUCCGAAGACGGAGAGACCCUGGCCAGGGUAAGUGACUGUCUGUGGGACAGGGUGAAGAGUGGGGGCAACCUGAGGCUGGCCCUGAGGACACUCUCUCCCGGGCAGGAGUACGGUGUUCCCUUCCUGGAGACCAGCGCCAAGACUGGCAUGAAUGUGGAGUUAGCCUUUCUGGCCAUCGCCAAGGAACUGAAAUACCGGGCCGGGCAUCGGGCGGAUGAGCCCAGCUUCCAGAUCCGAGACUAUGUAGAGUCCCAGAAGAAGCGCUCCAGCUGCUGCUCCUUCGUGUGAAUCCCAGGGGGCAGAGAGGAGGCUCUGGAGGCAUACAGGAUGCAGCCGUCCCCCCCAGGCCUGGCUUAUUCCGAGCAGCUGAGCCAAUGGGGAGAAAGAUGGAAGACUCACUGCACAGCCCCUUCCUAGCAGGGAGCUAUACUCCAGCUCCUACUUGAGUUCCUGCAGUCUCCCCGCAUCCACUGGGAGGGUAAAACACUUAGCUUUUAUUUUAAUAGUUCAUAAUUCAAUACCAAAAAAGGCACCCGGAUCCCCAAAAUACCGAGGCUGGGACCUAGUGGCCCUUUUGCUUUCUAGGACUUGGGGGGCUGGCCCUCCCUCCCAAGCAUAACAAAGGUGGUGUUGCUCCAGCUCAGCCCCAGGGGACACAGAUGCACUUUGGGGGUGAGGGCAGGUAAUGACUCCAUCGCACCCUCAGUUCAGCUGGACAGAGGCUCAGGUGACCCCAACCUUCACUGUCUCCUGCUCUCCAGGAGCUUAUCUUCGCCCCAUCUCCCAAAUAAGUGGGCCCUUGUGCUGUGAGGGAGACCAAAGCCUCAGGGAAGAUAAGAGAUUCGGAGAUGGGAGGGGGAGGACAAGGGACAGAGAGUAGGGUCUAGCUGGCUAUCUCUGGCCUUACUAACACCCCCCUGGAGGCAUGCCCCUUUUCUCCAGCACACAAGCACAUUGGGGCACCUGGAAAUAUUGGUUCCAGGCUCCUGUUCUCUGGACUUCAGAUCCUGGGGGAGCCCCUCCCCACUGAAUCCCUGGCUUACCUAGCUUCCUGCCUGUGCACCUAAAAACCUCAGGUCAGAACUAGGAAAAGAGUUUUGUUUUUUUAUUUUUUUGAGAUGGAGUCUCGCUCUGUCGCCCAGGCUGGGGUGCAGUAGUGCAAUCUCUGCUAGCUACAACCUCCACCCCCUGGGGCUCAAGCGAUCCUCACACCUCGCCCCCCAAGUAGCUGGGACUACAGGCGUGCACCACCAUACCUGGCUAAUUUUUGUAUUUUUUGUAGACACAGGGUUUUGCCAUGUUGCCCAGGCUGGUCUUGAAUUCCUGAGCUCAAGCGACCUGCCAGCCUCGGCCUCCCAAAGUACUGGGAUGACAGGCAGAAGGCACCACACCCAGGCUAGAUGUGACUUAUCCCAAUCCUUUGGCAGGCAUGCAGCUCCACAGGUGAUUUCUUCAAGCAGCUGAAGUGUUUAGCUCUCCUGGGUUAAGAGCCAGAUAAGGAGAAAUCCCUUUCCUAGGUUUGGAAUGUGUUGUGAAAAAAAAGAGAAAUCCCUGGCUCCUGGAGCUGGUGGGAGACAAGAUUAAGCAAACCUCCCCCGACACGUAUCCCUUUGACCCCAAGCUCUGCCUCCUCCCUAACCACCCAUUGCCUUUCCUUUAACUUCUCAAACAGAUACCAGGGCCUAAACUGCUUUACCUCCCCUCCUACUGAGUCAGGUUAGGGGGUGGGAGGUCCCCCAUUUCCAAGUGAAACCAAUGCAAUAUGAGUAAAACAAGGUCAUGUGGGUAUGUCUGGGGUAGAGAGAGGGGUAGCAAGUCCAUGUGGCCUCCUUGGUCACAUAUCUCCCAAAGCUCUGAUCCCUGCCACGGGAAGUGGACAGGAAACAUGACGUCAUGACCUGCAGGCACCUUUACUGCAGCUCUGCAGGCCUGGUGGGGGAGCGGGGAGGAAAUAGUAUGCGCUGCACAUUUCUAAGGCUACUGCAUUUGCUUUCAAGGCAGAAAUCUUGCUCUGAGCAGUCAGCGGCUCCAGUUUGGGCCCGAUAAGGAAGUUCUCCGUGGCCUCUCUCAGGCACAGCAGGGAGGAGGCUGACAUUGCCAGUCUCUUCUGGGGCCCAAGGCAGGUUGCAGGAGAUCCAAUCCCGUAGACAGCUCUGGGCCUCUUGCAUCUGAGUUUUUCAGAAUUAAACUGCAGUAUUUUGGAAAGC
rnacentral:sRNA from 1 species